UACGGAGGGAGCUAGCGUUGUUCGGAAUUACUGGGCGUAAAGGGUGCGCAGGCGGGCACUUAAGUCAGGGGUGAAAUCCCGAGGCUCAACCUCGGAACUGCCUUUGAUACUGGGUGUCUUGAGUCCGGAAGAGGUGAGUGGAACUGCGAGUGUAGAGGUGAAAUUCGUAGAUAUUCGCAAGAACACCGGUGGCGAAGGCGGCUCACUGGUCCGGAACUGACGCUGAGGCACGACAGCGUGGGGAGCAAACAGG
rnacentral:rRNA from 1 species